UGCUUAUUGUUGUUGUAACUUGUGCAUAAAUUGUGUUAUUUGCUUUUCUUAGUUGAAACCCUUGCUUAGAAAGUGGUACACUACUUUACCAUUUUCUCCACAUCUAUUUGCCAAGAGUCUCUCACCCAUCUUCUAGAAAGAGAGAGUUCCUUAGGAGAGAGAGAGAGAGAGAGCCAGGUGAUAAGAAACAUCCACACGACCGCUCCUCCUCCGCUUCCCCCUCCAUCCGGCGUCGACCUCAACAUCGAUUGGACACCAUCAGAUUGCACCGAUGUGAUAAGAAGUCUCCUACAGCGAUGAUUUGAUAACUGAAGAUGACGAUGUAUUAACCGGAACCGCUAGAGGUUAUUGUUGAUGCCAUCACCGUGAGAAAUCGAUCAGAAGUUCACUCAGACACAGAUCGCCAGUUUUUCUGAUCUCUAGGUGGCAUUCUCACUUAUUUACUUAUGAAUGAGUUGAUUUAGGCGAAUUAUACAUUCUGACAUCGAAGAACAAGAAGAAAAUGGACGUUUCAGGUGCGAUUCUUUGUCAGUUUUCAGCACUGAAGGAUAUGCUUGAUGAGGUGAACGAAGAAAUAUAUGCGAAUUGAAUUAGAAAUCGUUGAGUGUUCCGAAGUUGAGAGAACUUUAGCUGUUAGCGAGUCCGAGUUGAUGAAGACGAUGUACAUGCUUCAGUUGUAAUUAAAAGGACUCAUGGCAAUGAAUGUGGGCGGUGGUGUCUGUGUGUUGUUUUGCACGAAAUGCUUUAUGGUACGACAACGUUCCACGAGCUCACAGGAGAAUAGCCGCGUUGUAUGGUUUGAUCCGUAAAUUGCUCCACUGUUGUAGGUUUUUUUUUCCAAAUCUUUUGUAGGUUUUGGAAGAGCUUUAUUCAACAUUGUUGCAAACAGUGAUCAUCUUCCUUUAGGAUGUCACCAAAUCUCCAACAGGUUCCAUCCUAAUUCUCUAUGCUUUUCAAUUCAAAACACCAAAUCCCCCUUAUUUGACUCUAUCUAUUUAUUAUUUGAUAUUUCUUUCAACUUCUUUGCAUUGAAUUUCUGUGCAUUUGAUCGAGGCAGCUUCAAAUCCGUAAAGAGUGUACGAGAUAUAUAUAAUUACUUUUUAUGUGUAUAUGCCCUAAUUUUUAGGAUAUUUAUCUACUAAUUAAUUUGCAACCUAGAAGGAUUAAGAGAUUUGGGUUUUUAGGUAUGUUUUAUUCACGUUUGACAAAAUGGGCCCACGUGGAAGCACGGGGACGGUGGUGAAUGGAAGUUUAAGAGCUUGGCAGACGAGUCAACUAGACCACAGUUGAUAAUCUUUAUAUUCCUUUCAAUUUAAAGGUAUAUUUAUUAUUGUUUUGUUAAUCUUUCAACUGGCAUGAAAGAGAAUUCCAAGUUGCAACUUUACCAUAUAAGCCAGAUUUCAAAGUGGUGCCAAAGAGUCAUUCAUAUGAGCAUUUGAAC